ACAUCAGAGAUAUCUUCAGAAUCUGGUGAAAUAGAAAUUAAUAGCCAUUGUAGCGAAUCAACUAUAUAUAGUAGUAGUAGAGCAUCUUCUUUUUCUCGGGCAAAACGUUUUAAAGCAUCCUUAUGUUUGGAAGUACUUCUGAUAAUGAUAAUCAAGAAUUAGACAAUUCUAAGGAGAACUCUGAAUGUAAUACUAGCAAGCAAAAAAGAAAAGACAAAAAAACUAAUGG